UCUUUCAACCUGUCUCAUUUCAUCCUAUAAUUUAAGUGUCGAUGCAAGUCGACUAUGGCGAUAAACGUAUUAUGGAAUAAGCAGAGCGGACCCGGGGGCGGUACCCGGCGCCUCCACCAUUAAGCUAAAAGAGCACUGAUGAUACUAACGUUAUUGCUCAUCAUAUCAAGGUUUGUUUCGGUAUGACGCAUUUUUUUGGGGGCGAAAUAGGAUCGACGCAUGUAGUAAAGAUGGUAUUUUCGCUCGGUAUGAUAUCCGCCGUUAUCGGGUCAUUGUAGUAGUUGCAAAUGACAACACUGCUCCGGUUGCAAUGGCUGCGUAAUGCAGUUUGAGUGAUCAAAAUUAAGCCCUGUCGGAUUGAGCUCUGGCAGGCGGGGUCGAGGGUGCACCUGGCAACAGAAAGCCCC
rnacentral:tmRNA from 1 species